GAAAUUAAAUAUAAUUUAUAUGUUACCUCCAUAGAAAUAGAAAUGGGUAACAAUCGUAAUGUUUGAUUGGCCUUACGCUAGAUUUAAAAGGUCACCCGUUGAUAACUGAUAGUCUCACUCCUUAGGAAUUUUAUUUUGCAUUUCAUUGCUGCUGAUAUAGUUUUCAUAAUUUUUAAUUCAUUUGUUUUCAUACUGUUUAUUAUUUUUGUUUAUAUAUAGAUCGAUUUUUUAAAAAAAAAUCAGUUCAUAUAUCAUUGUUUUGUUGUUAUGAAAUAGUUAUAUACUUUUUAUACAUAUAUAUUAACAUAUAAAUACAAAUGUAUUGUGUAUAUAAGUUUGUGAUGUAAAGAAAUUAAUUGUCGUUUUUGUACAUGAAAAGCCAUGACCCAAUUUAUUAACUGUUGUUUUAUUAUGUCUUUAUACUAUCGAUCAAACUAAAAUAAAUUAUUGUAAUCU
rnacentral:misc_RNA from 1 species